GAGUGGGAGCAGGUGGGGAAGCAGCCUCGCUCCGACUUUCCUGGGCACCUGCUCCUUGCCGAGGACAUCAACAGGACCUCGGGGUCCAGCGAGGGAGAUGCUGAUGCCCACAAACAACCAACUCAGGUCCCCAGGAUCCAUACUGAAGAGGAAGCCCUGAAAGUUUUCUAGGAAGAUGUGGAGGGAUGCCGGAACAUGCCAGCCUUAGAGCAUCUUGGAGCAGGAGAGCCGGAUCUAGUUCCCAUCUCUGCUCUCUGCAGCCGGCCCCAGGAGAGGUUUAAGAGACAGCCCAGAGUGGACAUCUGGGAAGGGCGCCCGGUCGGCAGGAGCAGGCCCGGAGCUCUGCUGAGUCAGCGUGGGAGCGGUGAGGCUCUGGGCCCACCUCCUACCCGCACCUCCCAGCCUGCCUGUGCCCUCCGCCGCCAGCUGCCCAAAUGCUCUGUAACUUCCGGUGGAGACACGUGCAAGAGGUCUCUCUGGAUCAUGGGCCAGGGGAUGGGACCCACCCGGGCUCUGUCUCUUACAAACCAUGUGAACUUGAGCGUGUGGUUUGAGCCCUAUGGAACCUCAGUUUCCACAUCUACAAAAUGGGAAUGCUGCGGUGGCUAAACGAGGCACUUGAAGGAAAGCCACACAGUUAACUCAAAUGUCCCUCCAUGGGUGAAUGAAUAAAUAAAAUGUGGUC